rnacentral:rRNA from 1 species
GAUGAACGCUGGCGGCGUGCUUAACACAUGCAAGUCGAACGGUGAACGAGGGAGCUUGCUCCUGCUGGAUUAGUGGCGAACGGGUGAGUAACACGUGAGCAAUCUGCCCCGAACUCUGGGAUAAGCGUUGGAAACGACGUCUAAUACCGGAUACGACGCGCGAAGGCAUCUUCUGCGCGUGGAAAGAAUUUCGGUUCGGGAUGAGCUCGCGGCCUAUCAGCUAGUUGGUGAGGUAACGGCUCACCAAGGCGACGACGGGUAGCCGGCCUGAGAGGGUGACCGGCCACACUGGGACUGAGACACGGCCCAGACUCCUACGGGAGGCAGCAGUGGGGAAUAUUGCACAAUGGGCGAAAGCCUGAUGCAGCAACGCCGCGUGAGGGACGACGGCCUUCGGGUUGUAAACCUCUUUUAGUAGGGAAGAAGCGAAAGUGACGGUACCUGCAGAAAAAGCACCGGCUAACUACGUGCCAGCAGCCGCAGUAACAC